rnacentral:lncRNA from 1 species
UAUGUUUUAGGAAAUUCUGAUUUGUUUUCACUGUCUAAUUCUUCCCUCCUAGAGGAGCGUCUGAGGGUAGAACCUAAGUGGCUGAGGUGGUGUGUGCUGGCUGGUAUGACUCUCACUUCACAGGCAGGGAAAUCGAGCUGCCCCAGAGGCUAAUUCAUCUGGGAUUACAGGACGUCUAAGUGGCAGAGCCGAGAAACCACAGGCAUUGAAGUGAAGCUGGCAAGUCACCCUGGUCAGCCUUCAGAGCGGCAGAUGUGCCACGCCUCCUACAGCGUGUCUUCAGUCUGGCUGUGUCCUCUGAGCUCUGGGGUUUUAGUUCCUUCAGAGCCGUUGCUUUUCCUUCCCAGUCCUCUUGCCAAGUCUUCCCAGUCUUGGUGCCUGCUGGCUGCUGCCAUCUGCCCAAGCUCUCAGGCCAAGCCAUCAGGAUUUAAGCCGGAUCCCAG